AUAUUACAUGUUUAAGUGCAACACCAUACAUACGAUGACAGGUUUUGUGUGUGUUAACAUAGGAGACCAAAGGCCUGCCGCAACGGCCUUGCUUCAGGGAUCAAUGAGCACCCAUAGACACAGGUCCACCGCGGGUAGGUGCAAAGUGAUGAGCCUGGUCAAUCCAACCCGGUAAAUGAGCAUCAAGGAUCAAGAAGCACGAGCCGAGCCUGAUGGCAGGCGCUUGAAUGGUCUACUACAAGAGGGUCCAGUCCUUCAGUAAUGAUCCUUCCGCAGGUUCACCUACGGAAA
rnacentral:misc_RNA from 1 species